UGCCCAGAGAAGUGGUGGGUGGCCCACCCCUGGCGGCACUCAGGGUCAGGCUGGAUGGGGCCCUGGGCAGCCUGGUCUAGUGGGGGGCAGUCCUGCCCACGGCAGGGGCAUGGAACUGGGCUUUGAGGUCCCUUACAACGUAAGCCAUUCUAUGACUAUGAUUCUAUGAUUCUAAAUGGGACAUUUGGCUGGAAGGCAUCACAGCUCCGAGGCAGCCAGAGUACCUGAGUUUUCUUUGAAAACUGAGAAACAGGAGAGUGGACUCAAAGGCAGAUCUGACCUCAGCAUUUCAUUGCCAUUGAGGCUUGCCAGUAGCCUCCACAGCACAAUUUCACAGCCCAUAAAAUGGAGGCAAUUUUGCUCUUAACGAAGAGUGCUAUGAACUUCAUAAAAUGCUGUUGUGAACUGUAUUGACUAAAUACAAACAAGUAAACCAAGUAUUUAGAAAACAGCUUUUGCAACUCAGAUAGCUGGAAACUUAACCCGAAUGCAAGCUGUGUCUCUCAGCUGUGCAGACAGGGCACAAGAGAGUCAUGGAAACUCAUAAAUCACCAAAAUCCCUGUAGCAUCAAUUUACAGCCUGGGAUUAGUAUUGAUAUUUUUACUGCCCAAGCUGAAGGCUGUUAUAUCUUGUCAGCAUAUGAAGACAGUGUCUACUUUAAUGGUUAUUACAACACAUUUUGAUUAUAGCUUCGAAAAAGUACCACAAAUUUAGUAUGAUUCAGUUACAAAGACUGACUGAAGGGACAGUCUUGUUACCAUUUCCACUACUGCCCCUAUGAGGAGGACUUUGCAAGGAUUUACCCACUAACCAUCGUUCAGGAAACACCUCACACAGGCUUUCAUCUGAGGAGCAAAAACCUGUUGUCCAUUUGUGGGGAAAAAAAAAAAAAAACAACAAACCAACCCUAGAAAUAUCUAGAAAUAUUUAAUGGCUACAGUGGAAGACAGCUCUUCAACCAGAGUUCCUUUUACACUAGAGGCUCAUCCCUGAAACUUUGUCACAGAAAAAGAUCAUCGAGCACAGUGUGGUUUGGGCCACUGGAGAAACCACAAGCCACGUUUUUUGUUAAAAGGACAAACCACCAGAAGUGUGCUGACACAGUCUCCUGCUGGAGCAGCCACUGACAGUGCCAGACGAUUUCAUUGCUGGUAAAGAAAUUGAUUCCCUGCUGGUCUACUGAUGUUUAUGCUGCUGCAUUAACUAAUAAAGCUACGUCAAUCCAAUCUGAAGAAGAAAACAUUCUGCUAACUAUUGUAGGGGGCAGAAAAUAAAAAUAAUGUUGCAAAACAAAGGGUGAGUUUCCACAUGGAGUUUCCUCCCCACGCUGCUACUGGAAAUGAAGCAAAAUGGGAAUUGAGAGGAACUCCUUUUGUGAAGUGUUUAUUCCAGAAUAGCUUCUAUAAUUAUAUGUUAAUCCAGUUGAACUUUCAAGUACAGAUAAUACUUGACUCCUAUUCCUAGGCAAGGGAUUUGUUUCCAAGCCAUAUGUCUUCUCAGGAUCCAUAUUAACUGAAAAUAGAUCACUAUGUGCAGAGACAGUUGGAGCAAAGACCACACCAGCCCAAUAAAAAGUCAGGUUAGUCUCCCAGUAAAGGCUGAUGAUUUUGUUUUGGCUGCAUUAUGUUACCAAGGAAGGGCACCUUUUAAAACCAGAUUCCAUCCAAUUCAGCAUGGAAACACAUUUUAAGCGUGGAUAGCCCACAAACUGUUUCCUUUAGCACCAUGCCCAUGUUUCCAGUGUUGUACAAUCAGCACUAACCGUCUACAGAGGAAGUAUCACCUGAAUUUUCUUGUCUGGGUUGGCAGCUGAUGUACAGUGUGGAUCCACAGCCUCUGCAUGGUGGAACUGUGCUAAUUUGUAAUGUUCUUCACCAUUAGCCAAAGGCGACUGGGAAAUUUUACUGUUUGUCUCACUGGUCCAUUUCAUGAGACAGCCCCAGUCUCACUGGCACAACUGCAGAGAGAGUGAAUUGUUUCAUAGGUGCAAAGAUAACAAGAAGGAAACUCAUAAAUCUACUUUGCUGCUAGAGAAAAUAUAGCUUGCAACUAUGUAUGUCCUGAUUUUUCCACUGGGUUUAUAAUUUUUUGCACCCAUAGUGUGAGCUCUCAUUUGACUGUACAUUCCACUUUCUGGAGAAGAAUAUUCACUAAUUUCUUGUAUUAUUAUUUGUCCAGGCUUCAGAGGAAGCAGUGUCUUUGUGUAAUCUGUAGAAAUAGAAUUGUAAUUUACAGAGAGUUAAGUGGUCUCUCAGUGCUUUUGACUACGUGAUUAAUACUCUGCAAAGAAUGCCUUCACGCUUGUCAUGCAGAAAGCAGAGUUUAGACUUUCAUUCUUCCUUGCAGAAUAAGGGAAAGAGUAAACAAAGAAUUCAAUUAAGAAUGUUCCUUUAAUAUGAACAAAAAUGGAAUAUAUCUGUCACUGGAAAAAAAAAAACCCUGGCCUGACUCCUGAGGGGCUGCCUCUCUGCAGUUUUGGCUUAGCAAAGGCAUUUCAGCUGGCUAUUCUCAAUCAGAUAAAGAGAGGCACUGCUGGCAUCCUGUGUUCUGUGGAGACUGGAAGUCUCUCCAGUAUGCUGCCUUGCUUCGUCCAGAUGCACUGACUCUCUAGACAUAGUGAAAGACAUAUUUAUUUGAUCAAGGUUUUGGAGAAAGCCGUGGUUAUGUUCCCAGAGCAAUGAAUGAGGGAGAGAGGAUGCUACGAACCAUAGCCAUUCAAAUAACUCUGAGUCUAGUUUUCCUUUUGCUUCGUGGUUACUGCUGAAAUAUUAAUUAUAAGUUAGGGCAUCAAAUUUUAUUAUUUUGAUGUAAAUAAAUAAUCAGGUCACUCUUAGCAGUCUCAUUUCCCAGCAACCACACGUACUAGUAGGGUUUUUUGAAAAAUCACAUAGAACCUGGUCAUGGCUAAAUGGGGAACUGCUGAUUGAAUUUAUAAAACCCAUUAAGGAAUUGGUGUCCUCCCACUCCCUCAGCAACAACAGCACAAUUCAUCCUGCUGGCCAGGCAGUAACUUCCAGAUGACAAUGACUUGACCAGCUGAAGUUGGUGGUUAGGAUUACCACUCCUGGCAGAUCUAAUUAACAUAUUUUGCGCAAGAUUUCAGAGAAGCAAAAACUAGGAAAGUGGGUCAGAAACAUCACCGUGUGAUGAAUGUCUUUAACGUGAUCAGAACAGUAUAAACAUAUACCCAGCAUCACAAGUUGUGCUCAGUAUUGCUCUGAUUAGGUUUUUCAAAUUAAUUCCAUGUGCGGAUUUUCUUUUUCUGGAGCAAAGAGUUCCUGGUUCCAGUUUUGCUGGAACACUGCAACAGCUUUCCAGUAUGAACAACUGCAGCUGGUGUUAUCUUGGAACAGCCAUUUCACGAAUUCUUAAUAAAAAGUAAAAGCGGGCCCAGGAUGUGUGUCUAUAGCAGAAGCUAUUAAUUUUCAUGGGAGCUGAAGGUGCUUUCUGGUGUGCAGGAGCAGUUAGCAGCUCAGAAAGCAGAGCCCUAAGGCCAGCAAUUCUCAGUCAAAGAUAAAACAGGUCUCUGUUCCGUCUUGAAAUGGAUAAGCCAAUUCCAGUGGAGUGCUAGAUAUUAAUUUGUGAAUGAGAAAAUAAUAAAUAUUGAAAGCUUAAGUUCUGUUACAGACCGUAAUUUCAAACAUUACUGCAAAUGCAAAUAUGCCUCUCAGUCUUGUUUUAUUCCCACUGUUUUCUUAAGGAGGUAGAGGCAGAGACUCGGAAUCAUGAACUGCUUUCCAUCUCGCCUGCUAAGUGUAUCUCUUCCUGAAAAGCACCAAAUAGCAAUAAGCAAUUGGAGGUGAGCACUUGUUAGGGACAGCAUAGGCAGCAGGGUGUCUGCCUCACACUUUUUAGGGCCUUUUUUUUGACCCCUUAUAAAGCAAAAGAGAACAACCUCCGGGCUUGGUUAAUCAGAGCCAGUGGCAAACACAGUGUGCACCUGUUUGGUGCAGGAGCUCACCCUCUGCGGAGUGUCCAGAGAUCGGGACACGAUGUGAGCCGCCAGCACUGGGCUGAUGCCACGUGCCAUUCAUUUCUCCAACAGCUUCAGCUGCUCUGCCUGCCUACUCCUGUCUGCCCAUCGCUCUGCACCAACUGUUUCUUAACCACACAGUAAAUGUUUGUUUUUAUCCCUGGUUAUUUUUAACUUGCAUCAGUUCCUUGAUCUCAUUUUUCAUGUGGCCUCGGGGGAGGGAAGCAGUUGUGCCAAAACAAACAGUGCGAGAUGUGAGCCGGGGGCAGGAGGUCAGGAGGGCUGAGGGCAGCGUCACCCCCAGGAGAUCAGCGCCUGGAGCUGUGUUCUGCAGGUGCAGAUGCUCCCCAGUGGAACUGCCCACCAGCAUGGCACUAGAGCCAGCAGCAGAGCAAGGAGGUGUGGAAGGGCAGCCUAAGCCUUUCCAUCUAAUCACAAAUUGCUCUCACUCUGCAGAGCAUGCAACAUCAGGCCCUUGUACUGUUGUGCUUCUACUUUAGCGCUUUCCUUCUAUAUAUUAAGAAGACAGAUAUAAUGAAGCAUCUAAACCCCAGAACUAUCAUCUUAAUAACACUGUUAGGUGUCUUCCAAUGGUAAAUAUAUCAGCAGAGCAUACCUUAAGUAGCAUUAAAUUCUGCUUUUAUUGUCUUAGCUUUUGCUACUAAAUGUGAUUCAGAGCUGGUGGCUGGAAGACAGCAGAAGUAAAAGCUAACUUUACUUUUCAGUCUCCUCAUUCAAGCAGUUUUUUCAGGAUUCUCUACAGUGCAAAGUCCUGUUAGAUCAGGUUUAUCUGAUUUGUUUGAUUUAUCAUCUGUGCUUCCUUCAGAAUAGUGUUUCUGGGGCUAUAUGACAGUGACAAACCCCCUUUGACCUUUGGCAUGCUGGAAGGGUCUGGAGACAAGACCUGAACCAAUAGAAAUUCUGUGAUGUAUCUGUGAAGGUAUGUGAGGUUAUUACUUCUGUAAAAAUUAGAUCAUAACAAAAGAAUAAUAUAUUUUGUUGAAAUCAGAAGAAAGAAACUCAUAGACGCUACUGCAGAAAUAAAUUCUAUUUUAUCUUUAAGGAGUUAAGGUAAUUUCUAAAAAGUUAAUAAUUUGAUCUUUAAACCACUGGCAGUAAAACAGUAAUCAUAGCCCUAUCUGGAAUAUUAGAGACUGGAGACGUAGAUGCUUGUUUCUUUAACUUACAAGUCCUAUAAUGCGUGUGAAUAAUAUGUUAAUUUUGAACCAAUCUGCUAACUUGUGAAUUUGCAAUAACAUGCUUGUUCCAUUACAAGCAAGAGAACAUCAUAAAUAAUCAGGUGCAGCUUGCUUUUCAUUUUACAAGAUAUCACUGUCACUAAUAGCAAGCUGUGCAUUCUUGAUUGGCGAUUAUGUUGGUACGAUUAAGUUUCUUCUGGUGCUUUAAAAAUAACCUUGGGUGUUACUCUCGUCACAGAAUUGCCUGGCAGAGAUCCCUCCCAGGAGCAAUGCUGCUGUCACACGAUGCUGCUGCAGCGUUGUUCAAUUAAGGGCAGUCAGCAAGAAGAGUCCAAAGCACUCUCCAUGAUGAAUUUCUCAUGAAAAAAUGCUUUCCCCAGGAAACAUACACUCCUGAGAGAGAAUAAUCCACUAUCCGCUGGGAGUAACAAUUUUACUGUUAACUUCAUGAUAUUAGUUAAAAAAAAAAUAGAAUAUCUCUUUGAUAGAAUACUGGAGUAUAAUAAGAUGCUCUGUUUGAAAGGAUCUGUUAAAAUGAGAAAAGGUUCUGAAAGUGGUUGAUGUGAGUGUAGACCUGUGCCAGGCUAUUACCCUUACCAGCUGAAAAUUAAUGGUAAUCUGGAAUCAGGGCAAGUGGUUUUGACUCUACUUUUUCAGGAAGCCUGAAUACAUUUUAUUCUCUCCUACUCCCAGAAAUGACCAGCUAUCAAAGGCUAUCAAAUAAUAUUUGUUCUAAAGAAGGUGAAUAGGAACAAUCAUAACAUUUCAUAGAGCAAAAACUAGAAUUGAAUUGCUAGAAAUAGACUUAAAACAUCAAAGGGGAAUCUUUUUCAUGGUUCAUAGCCAAAUUGAGUCACCUUUCGCUGCAAAGAGGCUGUAAAGCAAAAAUUCUGAAUGAGAUUUCAUAGCAAUUUUGGAAAGGAUAUUAGAUUCUGUAUGUUCUUAAUCUGACCCCAAACCGCAGUAUGUAUAUUUCCGUGACUUAUAACUCAAUAGCAGAAGCUACUGCAGUGUGUAACUAAAGUAUGGACUCAUAUAUUCAGUGAUGUUGAAAUGUAGGUACUGUAUUUUAAUACAGUGUAUGCCAUCUAAAUAUUCUUUGUAGUAUUUUAGCAUUUAUGGAAAAAGGAGAAUAUUGAAGUCAUUUGUACAAUUAUAGUGAUUAGAAGAUACAAGUGCAAUGAAAUUCAUUGGUCUCUAAAUUUGUAUUACUCAAAAAACAUUGUUAGUGUGAAUCAAUGUGCAGAUGACUGCUUUAAUUGAAAUGCAGGCUCCAAGACAAAUUCAGAUUCAGUUAAUAAAGGUACUUUUUUUUUUUUUUUUUUUUCAGUCCAACCCUUUUGAUUCUUGAGCCUGCUCUUUUGUACUGGUGCAUUUGAAAUUCAAAUGGAGUUGUAUCAGGAAGACAUCUUGGAAUUGCCACUAACCAGGACCAGUAGGGAAUCCUGACUUGCUGUCAGCAGGAGGUUCUCAUUCAGUCCCCCAGAACUGAUCCGUGCUCCCUCAUCCAGUGCUGUGAGAGUUUUUCAUCAAUAUGCAGGUGGCAGCAGAGGAGCAAUCUGACAAAAUGGCAUCUGACAGUGGAAUUGCUUAUGGAGAAAAGGUGUGUUGUUGAAAUCUUUCAUGUGGAAAAAGUGGCACCCAUUGACAUUCACUGAUACUUGCUGAACGUUUCUGGAGACCAAACAGUGGCUGUGAGCACAGUGAGGGGAUGAGAAGGUGAAGGGAAAUCCUUAAGACCACUCUUCAAGUGGAGGAAGCAGGAUAGAAGACUCAUAAUCAUGUCCUAACAGCGCUUCCAUGACUGAGAGAUAAUGGACACAUCUGCAUCAUGAUCAAAAGUAUAGUGUGAGCCUAUCUGAGCUUACUUCAGAAAUUCAGGCUUGACCUCUGAGGGUUUAUGCUAAUGUAUUUGGUGUUCAUUCAGUAUCUAGCAUAGUGGUCCAUGAUCCAUCACUGUGCUCCCAAGGUGCUCCUGCAAGACAGAUUUCAGCCACCGUUCCCUUUGUAUAGGUACCUUUACCUGUGAAUCUGAAGAGAAUGCUGUGUGGACUGUGAAUUCCUGUCAGAAGACACGGUAAGUAUUUGGACAGCUAAUUCAUGCAGGUCCCUGAGCUACCACUGCUAGUAUUAAGCUCACUAGUUAAAGCCGCUUUAGAUGAAUGCAGCUACAGCAGAAGCUGAAUGAUAAAUAUUCCCAAAUGUAACCAAACAAACUGGCAAACUCUGAAUAAAUAUAUGAAAUACAUCGUAGUAGUCACAAACUCUGCUUGUUACUCUCAAGAGGAAUAAAUUUUGUUUAGGGCCACAAACCAGGCCCUCUUUUACAGCAUUUUGGAUUUUAUGCUACCUUACAAGCGCAAAAGGACAAUAAAGCAAUGGUAAAUAUUCAAAAAUUACUUUACCGUGGACUGUGUUAUCUCACUUAUAUCUUUCUAUCCUACCCCUAAGGUCAGACAUACAGGGUGGUUUUUACACACUGUGCUUGUGCACCGGUGACAUCUGGAUGAAAACGAGACAUAUAGCUAUAGGAUGUUGUAAAAAAAACGUCAGCCAUUCUUUUCAUGUUGUAAAAGACAAUAACAAAUGGAGUUGUCAAUGGUAGUAAUCCCAUCCAUGUAUAAAUCCCAGAAGACUAGAAACAGCGUUCUUGGAAAUGUUGUCAUCCCAAAAAAUCCAAGCAUAGAAGAUAAAGCUGUUCAAAGGAGCUGGUCUUCCACCUGGUAGUAGAGAUCAGUCAUCCUUGACUUAAAAUCCAAUAAAAUUGGAUUCUACUUAGUCCAAUAGGAAUAGCUCUUGUUCUCAAUGUCUAACAUGAAGUGGUCCAUCAGAUGGACACCACAGUUCACCUUUGCAUUCCAGCUACACAAACAGUUAUGAAAGGAACUUCUUACGACUGCAGAGAAGCUGCCAGGAGAGAGCUGGGAAGCAGACAGGCAGUUCUGCUUACUGGAACUCAUCUGUGUGAAUUUGCUUUAGCUGCCAUGCAAUGUUCAGAAGAUAUAAGAAAAUGACAGUUUACUCAGAGAAAGGAGAUAAAAGGACAUCCAUGGGUUUGUAUCCUCACUGAUGGUACAUACCUUACUGAAAUUAUAAUGAUGUGUGUACACAUUUAUAUAUUUACAUAUAUAUUAUAUGUAUAUUUAACUAAAAAGGAAAUGCAAAAUGAAUGGCAGAUCCUGAUACAUGUGUAUUGUAAAACACUGAUCUAUUGAAGAUAGAAAAUGGGAAAGAGUGAAUGUGAAGACUGCAGAAACUUAUGUGACAUUAUAAAUUGUAGUUCACCAACAUUUGCAUGAAAAGUAGGGCUUAGCCUGUAUCUUAAUGAUUAUUUGAUUUCUUUUCCUAUUUGGAUGCAGGAACUACUAGAAUAUCAGCAAGAAAACUAAACAUCAUGCAGGACAGACCUGUAUCCACCAUACAGAACAUAAAAAAUGAGGAGCAUCUGCAUAAUACAGUGUUGCUUACAGAAAGCUAAAGAAAGAGUAAGCAGGUACAACAUGUUCUUAAAUACUGUUGAGAAAGUGUUGAAUGUAUUUGAACAUAAUUUUCUAGCUUUCAUUCCUUGUCAUCUCUAACAAGUCUGUGGAAUGUGAUGGGCCUCUGACAUAAACUGAUAGCCAUCAAGGUUUGUUACACUGAUCAGAAUGUAAUCAGAGCACCCAAAAUCAUGUCAGCUGACGCUGAGUAUCAUGGUGAAUCACAGGUACUCUGCUAACAGAUAACACAACAGAAAUUAAUCACAGUGAAACACUUCACUUUAUGCUGUUAAAGGUAAUAGGUCUGGAAUUAAAGCUAAUUGCAUAUUAAAAUGGAGUGGGUAGCUAUGUUUUGAUUUAGAGAUAGGAACACGUCAGGCAAGCUCUUCUGUAACAGGAGAUAUUCAGUGCCCUGAAGUGAUGGAGGAGAAGAGCCCAGGAGAGCAUUCCUUGCAUUCCUGUGGCACUCAGCAUAUACAUAUGCCCCACAAAAAAAGGAAAUCUUAGCACUCUGAGUUUGGUAAGCUGAGCUUCAGAAAAGCUGGCACUUUCAUGUAGCUGCAGGCUUGAUUAAUUUGAAGAAAUGAUACUCUCUGAUGAUGAAUAUGAGGAAUAUUUAAAACUGUAAUUUUUUUUUUCUUCAGGGCAAAGGGCAUUAUAUUUUCAAUCUGCUAGUUAAAAAAUGAAUUCCUGUAAGAACUACUACUAAGCAACCACUAGCAAGAUAUAGCUGGGAUGUGGAGCUCUGUCUAUUUGUGUCCUGUGGUCUGCCCAGAAUGAUCAGUAUUAGCUGCAAAAAUAUUUUGCUGACAUGUAUGAGUAGGAUUAGCCUGAAGAGUUAUCUUUGUUGAUGAACUAAAUGAACAGUUUCAAGAGGUUUAGAAGAAUACUGUUUGAAGACACGGCCAGUAAGAGGGUAAUCUGUGUCUAAAAGCUUAAGAUUUUGUCUCCUGAGACCAGAGGUGUAUGUUAUGUAAGAAAAAAAAAUCUUCAUACCAAUGCCCAUAAAUUUUCACAAAUAAAUAAAAAUAAACGUUACAAGACCUUACUUAUGAUCCAAUGUAAAUCUGUAUCAGUGAGUGAAAAUCAAUUCAAUCAGAUUUUUCAAUCAGUAUUUCAAUCAGUAAUAUUUCAAUUAGUAUUAUUUACAUUGCGUGAUACUUAUCAGUGAAAGGUAGACAUUGUUUAUGAAAGCAAACACAGGAAUAGUUUUACAUUGUCACUAAUGACACCUUAAUAGGAGUUCCAUGCUUAGUGUUGCUGGGAUGCUUUUGUGACAUGUUCAUGCCAAGUAACAAACAGUACUAGCCAUGCAACAAGAUCACUGCCCUUUGCUGACCAUGCUUAGGUGAGAGGAAAGGGCCGCUCGGCAGCCCCAAAAGGUGCUGGUUUGGUGCCACAGCACUCUCUUUCUUGGUUCCCUUCUCGCCUGUGCAGGGUGGUGGGUUGGUGGGGGUCAGUCAUGGGAGGAAUGGCAACAGGUGGCCUGGCCAAAGCUGCUGGCCACCCCAUCCAGCUGGUGGGGCUUCAGCGCCCUGCUUGGAGGCCGUGUGUACCAGACGCCUCUCCCAUGCUGUUGGCUCUUGUGCCGCACAUCCCUCGGGACUAUCAAGCUCUCCUUUUCAGGAUUUCAGCCUCUCAAACGAUGGACGUGGAGUCUUGGGGCUGGCUUCCCAGACUGGCUGGCGUGCAGCCGGGCUGAGCUCAGCCCUGCUUUGGCGUAAGCCAGCUCGGGCCCAGGCGCUGACCCUACCAGCUACACUCAGGCAUUGCUUCUGCGAUCACCCCGCUGCCUGGGACAGUCGGGAUGUGGGUAGACCUGUCGGUGCCGGGAGCGGCUGCAGCGCAGGGCGAGCCGGG